rnacentral:rRNA from 1 species
GUGAACGCUAGCGACGUACUUAACACAUGCAAGUCGAACGAUAACAAAAAAUAGCUUACUACUUUGCUGACGAAUAGCGCACGAAUGAGUAAACUAUAGUUAAUGUGCCUCGAAAACUAAGAUAGCCACUAAAAACGGUGAUUAAUACUAGAUACACCUCUUUAGCUCAAGCUGGGGAGGGAAACGUUUUUUCGCUUCGAGAUCAGGCUAUAUCCUAUCAGUUAGUUGGUGAGGUAAUGGCUCACCAAGGCAAUGACGGAUAGCGGUUCUGAAAAAAUGAUCCGCCACACUGGUACUGAGACACGGACCAGACUCCUACGGGAGGCAGCAGUGAGGAAUAUUGCACAAUGGGGGGAACCCUGAUGCAGCAACGCCGCGUGGAGGAUGACGCAUUUCGGUGUGUAAACUCCUUUUAUAUGUCAAGAAAAUGACGGUAGCAUAUGAAUAAGCACCGGCUAACUCCGU